GCCAGCGUGGCUUAAUGGUUUGAGCAUUGGACUAGGACUCUGGAGAGCAGGGUCCGAAUCCCUGCUUGAGCA